ensembl:lncRNA
GCCCCCGGAAGUUGCUGCUGUUCCAGCAGCCUGGGGAUCGCGUCUCCUCGCCGUUUAAGGCUCGUCUUGGCUCUGCCGCUUGUCUUGUCGAUUUGUGACCUGACCGAAUUGUCGCACUGAACGCAUGAGUCGUAUGAAGGACGCCGGGGGACCCAGGAGCCCUAGAAAUGAAGCCUUGCAAACUGGAGCUGGUGAACUUGAUAUAAACUUGAGAGAUUCAUGUCUGUUGCUGUUUGUUGCAUGUGGGAUGCUGCCUCAGCGUGGUUUGAUGAGCAGUGCCAUGUCUGCGCCCAGGAUUCGAACCAAAGAAACACUGGGCCGCCUGCGGCAGAGCGCGUGAACUUAACCACUCAGCCAUGGGGCCAGCCCAGACACCUGAAUACUUGAUGACAUCAUCAGAGGCAUUUCAAACUGCAAAAGAUGCUUCAACUGUGACAUCUAGAAAUCUUUUUAACUGGCUGCUGCCUGGACUCAGAAACUGGUUUAUAAUUUGCUCCCACUAUUAACCUUGUUUUUCUUUUGUCUCUCUAGAAAUGUUUCUUAUUAAAUACCUGGUUAGUUGCUUACACAGUAUAGGCCUAAAUUGGGGAUCCCACCUGUAUCACUAUCUUACUAAAAGGCUAGUUCAGUGAGCUGGAACAACCUAUGCCCAUCAUCAACAAGGUGUCCCUCAAGAUUGAGGAAUGAAAAACAAAAGGAGGGGAUUGAUACUGGGUAAACACAAGGUUGACAUAGGGAAGCCAUGUUGUAGAAUAGAGACCAUAUUAUAACUUUGAAUGACCUCUAACUAACCCAUCUGGAUAUGCACCCUCCAGGAGAUCCACUUGCUCUCUAGGUUUUUUUGACCCUUGCUUGUACAUAUACCAACCAGCUAUGAUGAGAUGAUGACUUUGUUCUUUUGAGUUCCUUAGGAGUGUGAUGACCUCCAAACAGAGAGUCUAUUCUGAUAGCCAUCAUCAAUGGAAACUUGAAAGAUCUGGUGUGGCAACUCCUGGGUCAACAUUCCUAACCUCCUCCCCUAUAACCCACCAGCCUAUAUAACUCCUUCAAGAUUCUGUGACCCACCCCUUUAACAUGGUUCUUUUGGACAUUAGUCAGACAUCUUGCCUCUUGCUAGCAAGCUGUAAUAAAAUGCCCUUUCUCUGCCACCAUCUUGCCUCUUGACGAUCGGCUUUUAUCUCAUGGCAAGCAGAUUGUGUCCUUUGUGUGGUAACAUUAUUCCCUGGGGAGAGGAGAGUGUGUGGAGUUCAUUCCUGUGGCUGCUCAGGUGCCCUCCUCUCCUUCACCAGGGACUGACCCACUGCAGGGCUUCUGUCUAAACUGGGAGAGUCUAGAAUAUGGAACUUUCUGAAUGUGGCUUUCCUUUUGUCCUGUCGGAAGCAACCUGCUUAUCUGAGCUGAAUCCAGUAUUUGUGUUUCUUUCUUUCCUUUGGAUUCCUUUAUCAAUUGAAUAGUGUAGCCUUUUGGCUCUAGUUUCCCUUAGUACUUGGGCCCUGAGACUUUAAGUUGGUUGAGAGAUAGGAUGUGAGGAAAGCAAGACAUUUCUUUUGAUUUUUAGGUCAGUUUUUCUAUGUGCAUCUGUCUACAGAACAUAGACAUUUAAAAGGCUAAAGCAAUUAAAAUUCUAUUUUAAUUGACGUGAGGAAAACUCAAAGCUUACGUAAAUCUUUUAAAAUCCAAUGCAUUUAAGGGUUUAAACUCAAAUCCUGAUUGCAUUAUAAUAUGCCACUUAUUCCUUAAAAUACCCCCAGUGUGAGAUAUAGGGGAAAGACAAACUAGGAUGCUGCAUGUCCUUUUAGUUUGAAAGAGACUUGGAAAUUUUAUUUUGUAUGGUUUACCCUUUUGUAACUGUUAGUGUUUCUUAGAUUUCUUAUGUUGAAGAGAUAAAAUUAAAGAAUAUAAAUUUCUCUGUAUAUUUGAAAUAAAUCUGUAAAAUAGCACAGCCUAACUUAAGAAGAUUCACUGCCAACAUAUCCUGGUCCCCUCCAGCACUGUUACUUAAGUUACACCAAAUACACAGUUUUGAUCAUUUUGAGCCUCCUGUUAGUGUUUCUUUAUAUAAAUCAAGCAAUUGAGAACGCAUAUUUUUCUUACCCACUUUGUCCUUGUAAUGAGCCGUCAGACUCCACAUUUUUGAAUGCUCACAGCUUAAGCCUCACCCACCCACUUCCCCUUGUGCCCCCACCUGGACAAGCUGAGGAGGAAGCCUGGGUGCUCUCUCCUCUAGAGCAGGCAGGAGAUUCCCACCACCCCAGCCCCUGCCUCUGUGCAGAGCUCUUGCCCAGGCCCCAUCCCCAGGCCCAGUGAAACCCCAGGCCAGGCUCUAUUCCUUGCUUUCUGAGCCCUGUCAGAGCUGCUUGAGAAGCCGGCCCUGCCUUCUCCUCAGACCUCUAUUAUGUGACUCCUAACCCUUUUCCUACCAUGUGUGUUUCUGUGCCACCCUGGCAUCAGUCUCAACAAGGAAACCACCCCUCUGCAGUUGACCAUAGGCACCCUGAGCAGCAUGUCCAGACAUGACCCCACCCAUGGGUCUGUCUUCUCUUGCUCUGACUUGCUCCCCUGCUCUGCUGCCUGGUGGCAGCAUGCGCUGUGGGCUGCUGCUCACUGGGGAGCUCGUGCUGAGAGCUGUGCUGCCCCGUGUUGCUUUGUUGACCCACCAACCUCAGUUCUAGGUUCAGCUGAGCAGAGGUGGCAAUUUGAAGGAUGUAUAGGCACUUAGGAGCAGGACGCUGGGGUUGGGGCCUCCUUAAAUGAGUCGUGGGUCAGUGUCUGCCGGAAUUUAUCUGUGUGUGAGAGUGAAGCUUUGACAGAAGCUGUGUUGGCCUGACAUACCCUAGAGAUGGUGCUGCCACAGGGGGACUAUACUCUUUGCAAGAGAUGGGUCCAUCAGAUGGUCAGUAUUGAAAGGACAGUCAACUUAAAAGAGGGGGAAAGGCACCCCUACCACAAAAGUAGGGAGAAUCUCUUCAAAUUGUCAUAAAACCAAAACCCCUGUUAGUGCCCUUGGAGACUCCUUCACUAUAGAGGCCUCAGUGACCUUCUGUCAUGCCUCCUAGGGUACCCAUGAUGGCUUUAAAUUGUCCAUGGGCUUCUGAUGCAAGAACCUGCACUAGGCCUCACACUAUAUGUCAUUAGAGCUGCAAUGACCUCUGCUUACGAGUCUAUCCUGAAAGUAGUUGGCCCUGCGCAUGGGGCCAUGUAUUCAGCAGUCCAUUUUGACUUGGGAUGUGGAAGCAGCCCUCCAGGAGCUCAGCAUGGCUACUGAGACCCCCUGGAGACACGAUGGAGGCAAACCUGGGCCCUCUGGGAUAUCCUACCUGCAGGAGAGAGUGGUCUUCCCUGUCCUUAGUCUCCUGCCAGCUGCCAUGGUGUUGAAGGAGGUCUCCCCUUUCCCAGAAUCCCAGGCUGCAUGUGGAACUCCUUAGGACUUCCUGAAUGAAAAGCAAUGGGAGUACAUAGAUUUUAGUGACAACAGCACCACGCUUGUACAUGAUUUAGUUCAGCCAGAGUUGUUAUUUUUCGAUUGUUAAUUGUGACAUUUCUGAUGAAGGACUGGACCCAAGGGUCAUCACGCUGACCACACAUCAAGCAGACAUCUUAGCACUGACGAACAGUUGGCUCCAGCUGCAGACAUUACAGACUAUGGGUGAUUCCCUGAGAGUUGCCCUUUUGUGGUAAAAGAACUCUGGGAAUCUCUUGCCUCACAGUUACCUACAAUAUAAAUCAAGGUAACACUUGGAUGUUUUUGGUACCAGUCCUUUAUCAGAUAAGUGAUUUUCAAAGAUUUUUCUGCCAGUUUGUUGUUUCUGUUUUUAUUCUCUUAUACUGUUUCACCAAGUGGAAACUUUUUAUUUUAAUGAAGUCAAAGAUUUUUUUCUAUCUUUGAUCAUUCUUUUUAUGUUCUAUCUAAAAAUUAAUCACCAAAUCCAAGGUCACCUAGAUUUUCUGCUGUGUUAUCUUUUAGGAGUAUUGUAGGUAUACAUUUUAUACUAAGAUCUAUGGCUCAUUUUGAAUUAAUUUUUGUGAAAAAUGUAAAGUCCAUGUCUAGAUUCUUUUUUUGCCUGGGGAUGGCUAGUUUUUUUCAUAUUAUUUGUGGAAAAGACUAUGUUUUCCUAUUGAGUAGCCUUUGGUCCCCUGUCAGAGAUGAGUUCACUAUAUCUGUGUAUCUACAGGAAAGCAAUUUGACUUUUCUAUGUUAACAUUUUAUCUUUCAGCCUUCCUCUACACUCUUAGUUCAAGGGGUUUCUUUAUUUUUGGGGAUUCUUUGAGGUUUUCUUCAUAGACAAUCUUGUACCACAAGGACAGUUUUAUUUCCUGCUUCCCCAUAAAUACACCUUUUAUUUUCUUUUCCUGUCUAGUUGCAUUAACUAAGAAUUCUAGUCCUAGUUUGACUACAAGUGGCGGGAGGAGACAUCCUUGCUGCCUUCUUGAUGUUAUCAGAAAGCAUCUAGUUCCUUCAGUGCAGUCCACUAAUAUUAAAGAAGAGCCCAGUUGAUGUAGAGGUAGGUGUGGCCUGAGGGGGGGCAUUCUGUAGUCCAAUGAUUGUGUCUCAAUCUUUUGGUGAGCCUGUGUCCCUGGGCUUGUCCUGUGAUAUAAUAAAAAUAGUUUUUCCUUUGUCCUCAGUUCCUAGCAAAAACCUCUUGAGGCCCUUGGAAUUCCUUGAGUCAUGAGGGUGAUAGAGUGUCUUUUGUUUUAAUGAGGCAACUCUUGGCCGGCUCCUAGAUGGCUUCAGGAUGGGGGUUGGGUACCAGAAACACCAAGCCUUGAUUAGAGGCUUGAAACAUUCAGUGCCAGCUCCCAGCCUCUGUGCAGAGGAGAGGGGCUGGAGACUGAGUUGACAAAGGGCCAAUGGCCAGUGAUUUAAUAAUUUGUGCCCAUGUAAUGAAAUCACCAUCAAAAUGGUUAAAGAGAAUUCAGAGAGUUUCUGCAUUGGUGAACACAUGCAGGUGCUGGGAGGGUGGAGUGUCCAGAGGAUGUGGAAUCUCUGCAGCCUCCUCCACCUCCACUCCCCUCACCCAUACCACUGCCCUGUGUUGCCCUAUGCAUCUCUACCUUUUGUCUGUUCCUGAGUUGUAUCCUUUUUAUAAACCAAUAAUAUUGAGUAAAGAAGUUUGCUGAGGGGCUGGCCCCGUGGCCGAGUGGUUAAGUUCGCAUGCUCUGCCGCAGGCGGCCCAGUGUUUCUUUGGUUCGAAUCCUGGACGCGGACAUAGCACUGCUCAUCAAGCCACGCUGAGGCAGCGUCCCACAUGCCACAACUAGAAGGACCCACAACGAAGAAUAUACAACUAUGUACUGGGGGGGCUUUGGGAAGAAAAAGGAAAAAAAAAUCUUAAAAAAAAAAAGAAGUUUGCUGAGUCCUCAGAAUCAUUUCAGUAAGUUACCAAAUGUUAUAAGGGGUGUUGAGAGAAUAUAUGAAUCUGUGGAAGGCUGAGUGGAAAUGCUGUCAGCCUGGGCACCCCAUUUGUGGUUGGCAUCUAAGGAAGGGGCAGUUUGUGAGACUGAACUCUUAAUCUGUGGACUGAUGUGAACUCUGGGUAGUUAGUGUUAGAAUUGAAUUGAACUGUUGCACAGCUUGUUGGUAAUGUGGAAUUGAAGUUUCAUUGGAACAGACACCAAAUAUUUGGUCUCAGGAAUGAACAAAACCCUACCAUCCUCUCAAUUACCCCACCUCUCAAAGCAGAAAAGGCUCAAGUUGGCUAUUGCAGUGCCCCUGGUCAGUUAGGCUUGGGAAAAUCUUAGUCAGUGCUCUUGUGAAAUAGAUUGUUUUUAGCACAUGACUUGCUAAGACCAGAAUAUUUGGGAUAUUUUUUGAAUUGUACAUAUUUGUCUCUAUAAUUGUGGAGACCUUGGUUUACCCUGUGAUCUCAGUUCUCUGAUGCAAGAAUUGUUGAUUUCAGUUUUUUUUGCUUUUUUCAUUUGAGUACUGGAAUCUGGUUUCUGAGCGCCUUGCGUGACAGACCAGAGACUAGAAGUCUCUUGACUCCUUUUUUCCAGGUUUAUUGAGAAAAAAUUGACAUGCAUGACUGUAUAAAUGAAAGGUGUACAGCAUGAUGGACUGAUUUACAUAUAUUGUGAAAUGGUUACCACAAAUUCAGUUAACAUUCAUCUCAUAUCGAUAAAAUAAAAAGAAAAGGAGGAAGAAUAAAGAAAUAAAUUUUCUCUAUGUAAUGAGAACUCUUAGGAUUUACUCUCUUAAUUGCUUUCCUAUGCAUUAUAUAUCAGUAUUAGUUAUAGUUGUCUUGUUGUACAUUACAUCCUAGCACUUAUUUAUCUUAUAACUGGAAGUUUGUGCCUUUUGACUCCAGUUGCCCAACCCCUCCACCCCCAUCUCUGGUGACCACAAGUGUCAUCUCUUCUAUGAGUUUUUUUUUGGUUCCACAUAUAACUGAGAUCAUAAAAUAUCUGUCUGUCUCUAACUCUUCUCUCUUAGCAUAAUGCGUUCAAGUUUCAUCCCUGUUUUUACAAAUCAUAGGAUUUCCUUGUUUUUUUUUUUUUUAUGGCUGAAUAGUACUGGAUUGUUUAUAUAUAUACCACAACUUGUGUAUCCAUUAGUCCAAUGAUGGAUGUUUAUCUUCUCUGUGGUAGGCAGGGCCCUCAGUGAGUGGGAUAAGUGAUUGAUCAAUCACUUAUCCCACCGUCUAAUACAUCUUUUUUUUUUAAAGAUUGGCAUCUGAGCUAACGUCUGUUGCCAAUUUUCUCUUUUUUCUUAUUCUUCUCCCCAAAGCUCCCCAGUACAUAGUUGUAUAUUCUAGUUGUAUGUCCUUCUGGCUCUACUAUGUGGGAUGCUGCCUCAGCGUGGCUUGAUGAGCAGUGCUAGGGCUGUGCCCAGGAUCCGAACUGGUGAAACCCUGGGCCACUCAAGCAAAGCAUGCGAACUCAACCACUCGGCCAUGGGCCUGUCCCUCUAAUUUAUGUUUUCUUAGCAGUGUACAGAUGAUGUGAUUCUAUAAUUACUAGUGUCUCAUUUGAUACCCUGCCCCCAUCCUUCUUCCCAUGAUGCAAAUGAGGAAAGUCAAGCACGUAGUAAAAUUAAAAUUUUAAAAAUUAGUAAAAGUAAAAUUCACGUAGCUCCUACCAGUGGAAACUCUUAGUUUUUUUUCUUUUUCUUUUUUUUUUUUUUUGAGGAAGAUUAGCCCUGAGCUAACAUCUGCCACCAAACCUCUUUUUGCUGUGAGGAAGAUUGGCCCUGAGCUAACAUCCGGACCCACCUUCCUCUAUUUUAUGUGUGGGACACCUGCCACAGCAUGGCUUGACAAGGGGUGCAUGUGUCCGCACCCGGGAUCUGAACCAGCAAACCCUGGGCUGCCAAAGUGGAACUUGGAAACUUAACUGCUGCACCACCGGGCUCGCCCCAGAAGCUCUUAGUUUUGAAGGCAUAAUAUGUGUCCUUCUGGGCAACGUCAAAAAUUUCACUCACAAGAACACUGAAGUUUUGUAUAAUUACGCCCCUUUACAAAUGUUGCCUCAAAGUUUCCAAACAGGACUCAGAGGGCAACGUGGUGUUCCACUUAUAUGACAUUCUGGAAAAGGCAAAAGUAUAGGAACGUAAAACUGAUCAGUUGUUAAGGGUGGGAGGUUUCAGCACAAAUGGGCCUCAUGAGAGUGUUUCUUUGAGGUGAUGGAGUGAUCUCCAUCCUGAUGGUGAUAUAACUGUACAUUUGUGGAAACUCACAACUUCUGAUGCCUGAGUCUAACAGGGUGGCCUGUUUGAUCUAGGACAGAAUGCACUAACUCUGCAGCAGACUCCAUCAUGUGUGGUGGUGGCACACUAUCCAUAAAGUACAUGGACUGCCUGUCAUUUGUGUGCUCCCAAGGACUCCCCAAGUGGCCAGUGUGUCUAGAGAGGAGGUGAACUCCUCCUGAACUGACUGCAUUCAUCAGAGAACAGAAGAACACACCUCAUCUUGUAGGUGGGAUAUGCCAGUCUUGAAAUUUUUGGCUCUAUCCUGUAAAUAUCAAUAUCUUUUCAAUGAAAAGUCCUCUGCUUAGCAAGCUUGAGGGGUCUUGCAUUCAUGACUCAAGGCAAAGUGGAAGCUGGCGGUGGAGGUUCACCAACUCUGAGCCUAGGAAGGUCUCUAUUUAGAAAAAACUGUCAGUUGCCAGCCGUGGCUUUUCUAACCAUGUGCAGAGCUGAUGGACAAUAGGUUCUUGUACAAGAAUUUUCUUGGACAACUUACAUCCACCAUGCGUGGUUUAGAGAUUUCUGCAUGGAUAAAAGUAGGCUGUAAAGCCUCUCUGGUAACAGGGUGUAGGGAGGGAGACACUAAUGGAGUGAUGGUUAAGAAUUCCAGGGCCAAGAAUCUAACUCAUUGGCACAUUGUUACAGAUCCUUUGGCCAUUGACAAUGAUCUAGAGGUCUCAUCCCACCACUAGCAACAACUCCUUAUCCACGAUGGCCCCAUGGCACAAGACUCUGAGAAAGUCUUGCCUCACAAUAUCCAAGUAAAAAUCAAGGUCACUCCUAAUUCUGGAUAUAUUAAACCUCAAUCUGCAGAGGCUCAUUACAAUGUUAAGGGUGAUAAAUGGCUUAGAAUUUCAGUGGCACAUACCAAUACCUCACCCCUGAUGGUAUUAAUUUUGUCCCUUUGGGCUCAUGUAAUAAACUAUUUAGAGGCCUCUAACCUAAAGGUCUAGGCAUAAUUCAAAGGACUUUCCUCUGCCAUGGCUGACAGUGACUGACCAAUGCACCUGAUGUGAAAAAAACACGUCACUGGAAAUAAAAUCAAUGAAUGUACUUUCCAGACCAAGGGAGGGCCCACUACAGCUGAUAGCAAACAGACUUUCUAGGGCCCCUCACUCCCUCUACUGGCUCCUUGCUGUGCACUGACCAUGGUCGUUACUUAUAUAGACAAAUUAUUAAUCCUAUCACACAUGACCCUGCUGAAGCCAAAAUGCAAGGACUCACCAAGACACUCUAGAAAUUACUGAUAUUAUCAACUAAUUUCUCAAAAUGUAAAACACUGGGCUCUUAAAAGUAUUCAAUGGAUCCUGUGCCUCUCUUACAACCCAGGCUGCAAGCCUCAUAGGAUGGCUUAACGGCUUACUUAGACGAACCUUGCUUUCUUGUGAAUAGAUGUUCCUGCUCUUUGAGUCAUUAGUUAUAUUCGCUCCCCAGUCUUUAGGGCCUGUUGCUUUGUUCUGAUCAUCAGGCUCACUGGCACCUAAUAAGUAGAGUCUUUCUAUAGUAGACAUUUCUCUCAGAAUGGGCACUUCUACAAGUCUUUGGUUUAUUGUAAUAGUGCACCCUGGCUACCACUCUUAUAUCCCACUCCUGGGCCUUCCUUCUAACAUCACCUGUAUUCUGUGUGCCCUGUGUGUCAAUAUUUAAUUUUGGGCACCCUCCUUCAGAACGCCUCUGGCCCAUCAAAUACAAAUGUGCUGUUUUCCUACCAUUUACACUCACGUGCUCAUUGUCUUGGGAUUCUCUGAUACUGCACACAUGAUGUCAUUCAACAAGCACAUCAUUAAUACCAAUCAAGAAAUGUCCAAAACAUUCAAAAUACAUACAGCAAACAGCUAGUGCUUGAAAUGUUUUCUGUGAAGGACAGCUCCCUCUCAGCCAUGUAAGCUGAUGACUCCUUGCCUUGUACUGUUUAUUAACAAGCCAGGGAGAGCUCUGUUCCCCUAAAAGGGAUACUUGCUGCUUAUGGGUAAGCAACACUGGCAAGGUGACCCCAAUAACACAAGAAAUGAGACACUAAAUUAAAUAACAUUACUAAAAUAAUUGAACAGAGUUCUAGAACCAUACUGACAUAUUUUCCUGGAUGUCUCAAACACCCUAGAAUGACUGGAUGCAAAUGCCUUUUUUUAAGGCUUUAUCAUGCUAAUUAUAGUAUGUUGCUUAUACGUUUCACAUGGCUUUUAAAUUAAUAUUCACAUGCAAAUUUAUUUAACUGAGAUGUGGCGUCAUUCAGUCAAAAAACCUCAGGAGUGAACUUUAAUAAAAAACUGCCCUCAUUUUUGAUAUUUGACUCUUAACUGGCUUUGGAUACAUACUCACCCUGUUUGGCCCACAGUGGGUACCUAAAUUAUGGAGGUUGACAAAUGCCCCUUUUCUUUUUUGCAUCAGUUGGUAGGAGGGUCAAACCUUGAAAACCUGCUUCGUCUACCUUUACACAUCUUAAAGGGUCAACCCUAUCUCCUCUGCACAAGCCCCCUCAGCCUGCUGACACUUGCCGUACUCACCUUAGAAAGUACCUUUGAGCAAUGAACAUACUUCUAUUCACUCGAUGCACGUGGCAAUAUGGGUCUUGCCAUGCAGUCUCAUUUUGUGUAGGGUAUUAUCCUGCCCCAAAGAGGGCAAUGAUAAAACGGUGGGCAACCCAUCAAAAUUGUCUUUUGGAUGAUGAACAGGUGUUCAUGGUAUGGAAAUUUGAAAAGAUGAGGGUAAGAAAUCCAAAUUCAGAGAUCCCAGUAUAAUAAUGUUUCUAGAUGCGUUGAUCACAAAAGAAAAAUAGUGACAGCUUCCACAUGGUCAUCAGCAAUAGAAUAAGUGAAAAUGGUAUAGUCUCACAGGUGAAAAAUACAGCAACAGAAGUGAAUGGAUGGUUUAUGUUCCAGUAUGUAAAGAGCCCUGAGUGAUCAUUCUUAUCUUCACAAUAAGAAAAGAGCUGAAUAACCUGAAAAUCAACACCUCUUCUUAGAUCCAUGAGAGAUUUGAGGUUAGCUGGCAAACCAACACUCCCAAAAUGAGAGAGAGGUAAAUAAUAGAGAAUUACCUUAUGCUGAGAAGAGGAACGACUGGAGCCAGUCAACUCUAGAAACACAUAAACUGUAAUAGAUGAAUUACUGUAGACACAGUAUGGAUUACCUUGAGAGUUGAAAAUUCUAGGGGGCCGGUCUUAGGGAGCAUCCCAGAAUUUAUGAAUUUUUCCUUUAAGAGCCCAACCAGAUUCUCAUAGUGAAGAUCCGAAAAAAUUGCCUCAUGCUUCAUUCAGGAAAUGGGGGGAAACAUUUUGAUAAACACAAAGUAUUUUGUCUGUAACAUAGACCAUCCCUCAAAGGAAACUAAUUUGCCAAAGGCUUCUCUGAUUGGGCAAAGUGCAAAUAGACACCUGUAGUUGCUUCGGAGUUCUCUCUGACAAAAGUGGAGGAAAUAUAAGUAUGUAUAUUUAUAUACUAUUAUAUAAACAUAACAGCCAAGUUCGUGUUCUGAAGUUCCUAGUCCAGGGAUUCUUUACCACCAAAACAUUGCAGGUUUCAUCAUAACAGAAGAGGACAUGUUUUCUUUCAAUACCUGACACCAUGUCAGCAGGGUCCCUGAAUAAAAACACUAGAUUAAAACAGAGCUGCAAGACACAGACUCUACAUAAGAAUGAGUUUCUAGAGAAACCCAAACAUGCCGGGGAGAUAAGUACAACUGCACUAUAGACUAUGAAGCCCCUGACCCCUCCAGCUGCAGCAAACAUUAAACAUAGUCUGACACCUAUUCAAGAAAUCAUAACACCUCACACUAAAGGCCUGUUUAUCUCAAACCUUAUUGUGACAAUUUACAAAUGCAUGAAAAUUAAAUGACAUGCUCUGGGACAACCACUGUCAAAGAUGAACUCAAAUAAGAAUUUCAAAAUAUCUCAAACAAAAGUGGAAACGCAACUUUCAAAAACUUAUCGGAUUGUGAAAGAUGACAUGAGUGGAGCCAUAUUAAAAUAGAGCCGGAGCAGCCAUUUCAGAGGAAUUGCCUUGCGUAUCUUGUUUUCUUUAUCUUCUAAACUGGACCAAACCACCAACAUUCCAACAAGUCAGUAAGGAAAGGAAUAUCCUCUCUGGAGGAACUGAUGGAAGACUUUGCUGAUGACUGGAUAUAACCAACCAACGACGUACAAGUCUAGCCGUUUGCCUGAUGGCUGAAUGUGAAGCCAAUCUAUGAAGUACACACCUAGCCUUACGUCAUCUUGCACCAGUGAACUCUUCUUUAAUACAACUCGCCUCAUCCUCCCUGUUCCCCAUAAAAGCCCUAAGCCCCUCUCCUCUAAUCAGGACACUAUUUGAGUUUCUACCUGAAUCUGUGCUCCCUGGAUUGCAAUUCUUUGAUUCCAAAUAAACACUUGCCUCUUAAACUGUUUUUUGUUUUUGCAAGUUGACAGGAUAUAGCAUAAGGAGUACUAAAAGUGAAGUUUAUAGUGGUAAUCAUCUAUAUUAAGAAAAAAGAUAUCAAAUGAACAACCUACAUUUACACCUCAGGGAACUAGAAAAAGAGCAACAAACUAAACCCAAAGUUAGGGAAAUUAGGAAAUAAUAAAUAUAGAGCAGAAAUAAAUUAAAUAGAAUAUAGAAAAUCAAUAGUUUUGUGGUUUUUUGUUUGUUUUUCUUUUUUUGCUGAGGAAAAUUCACCCUGAGCUAACGUCUGGUGCCAGUCUUCCUCUAUUUUGUAUAUGGGUCACCACCACAGCAUGGCCACCAAUGACUGGUGCUGGUCCAUGCCUUGGAAGUGAAUCUGGGCUACCAAAGUAGAGAGCACCAAACUUAACUAUUAGGCCAUGGGGUUGGUCCCUAGUUUUGGGUUUUGAAAAAAAUAAAUAAAAUUAACAAACCCUUAGCUAGACUAACAGUAAAAAGGAGAGAAGACUGAAAUAUGUAAAAUCAGAAAUCAAAGGGGACAUAUUACAAUGGAUGCCUCAAAAAUAAAAAGAUUCAAAAGGGAAUUUCAUGGGCAUUUGUAUGAGAACAAAUUGGAUAACUUGGAAGAAAUAGAUAAAUUCCUAGAACAUGCAACCUACAAGGAAAGAAUUAA